rnacentral:rRNA from 1 species
GAUCCUGGCUCAGAGCGAACGCUGGCGGCAGGCUUAACACAUGCAAGUCGAGUGGGCCCUUCGGGGUCAGCGGCGGACGGGUGAGUAACGCGUGGGAACGUGCCUUCUGGUUCGGAAUAACCCUGGGAAACUGGGGCUAAUACCGGAUACGCCCUUUUGGGGAAAGGUUUACUGCCGGAAGAUCGGCCCGCGUCUGAUUAGCUAGUUGGUGGGGUAACGGCCUACCAAGGCGACGAUCAGUAGCUGGUCUGAGAGGAUGAU